rnacentral:rRNA from 1 species
UACGUAGGGUGCAAGCGUUUGUCCGGAAUUAUUGGGCGUAAAGAGCUCGUAGGCGGUCUGUCGCGUCGGCUGUGAAAACUCGGGGGCUCAACUGCGGGCUUGCAGUCGAUACGGGCAGGCUAGAGUUCGGUAGGGGGAGACUGAAUUCCUGGUGUAGCGGUGAAAUGCGCAGAUAUCAGGAGGAACACCGGUGGCGAAGGCGGGUCUCUGGGCAGUAACUGACGCUGAGGAGCGGAAAGCGUGGGGAGCAAACAGG